rnacentral:rRNA from 1 species
CGUGAUAAAGCGAAAGCGUUAAGCAUUCCACCUGGGGAGUACGCCGGCAACGGUGAAACUCAAAGGAAUUGACGGGGGCCCGCACAAGCGGAGGAACAUGUGGUUUAAUUCGAUGAUACGCGAGGAACCUUACCCGGGCUCAAACGCAGGAGGGAUGUUUUUGAAAGGAGGCAGCUCUUCGGAGCCUCCUGCGAGGUGCUGCAUGGUUGUCGUCAGCUCGUGCCGUGAGGUGUCGGCUUAAGUGCCAUAACGAGCGCAACCCCCACCGACAGUUGCCAUCAGGUCAGGCUGGGCACUCUGUCGGGACUGCCGGCGCAAGCUGUGAGGAAGGCGGGGAUGACGUCAAAUCAGCACGGCCCUUACGUCCGGGGCGACACACGUGUUACAAUGGCAGGCACAGCGGGAAGCCACCUGGCGACAGGGAGCGGAACCCGAAAUCCUGUCUCAGUUCGGAUUGGAGUCUGCAACCCGACUCCAUGAAGCUGGAUUCGCUAGUAAUCGCGCAUCAGCCACGGCGCGGUGAAUACGUUCCCGGGCCUUGUACACACCGCCCGUCAAGCCAUGGAAGCCGGGAGUGCCUGAAGUGCGUGACCGCAAGGAGCGCCCUAGGGUAAAACCGGUGACUGGGGCUAAGUCGUAACAAGGUAACCGU